rnacentral:lncRNA from 1 species
AACUCUCUGUUUUGUUUUAUGUUUUUCCCCUUUACUCAUAUGAUUUUUGUAUUGACAAUGAGUAUACUUUUUUGUUUGCAGGAAUGGAUCGUGGCUUUCUGGUUGAUAUGACGGACCCGUAUAAAUCUGAGAAUUGCCUAUGUGAUAUCAUAUUCUUAUUAUUCAAGGAAAAGGGACAAGACGAAGUAAUUAGUAAGAUUGGAACAUAGUGUAGACAGUAACACAUUUAGUUAAGUAUGGUGGUGCCGAAUUCUAACAACUUGAAUGAAGUUGUAUUGGAUGGCAAAAUGGAUGUUUUGGUCGACUUCUAUGCUCCCUGGUUUGGCCAUUGCAAGAGCCUUGCUCCUAUAUGCAUCCCAGCCUCUUAUAUUAAUUUGUUUACUAGACCCCAAAUGUGCAAAACCAAUAUACUAACUGUCUCUUCUUUGUCACAGACUCAUGAAAGCCUUGCAGUUGCAUUUAAGAAUGAGUAUAUUCGAGAAAAGUAAUAAGAUAAUUUUGGCUCUUUAAAGGGUAUCGGGUGUACACGUUUAUGGUUUUAUGUGGGUAAAAAUUACCUUUCGGUAUGCUCAUAACCUGGAAGCUGAUCUUAAACUCAUCUCAAAUACACACUUGAAAUAUCAUAUACUCAACUACACUUCU